AGACGGACUCUGCCAUCACUUACUUACUGUAAAUGAGCAACUUUACGAAAACGAAUCUGUUGAUGUUUUUGGUCGCUCUUUGACAAAGUGCUUUCUUCUUUUUGAUUCAAAUUGUCAUCAUCUCAAACUACAGCUGGAGGUAAAGAAAGAAA